AAUCAAGAAGCAACAUGUCAUCUAAAGUGACAAGAGGCUCUUCAUAGAACAUACUGAUUCUACUCACGAAUACACUAAUCUAUAAGAAGUUUGAUUGCCCUAAAUCCUUGUCAACACAUGGCAUUGUCAAUCUUUUUAAGAUACACACUGGGGAGCAUCUACAUGAAGAGAACAAACAGGUAGAGCAGCAUGACAAGAAACAGAGAGAUAAGAGAAAUCAAGAGAACAUGGAGUCCUAGAUUCCAAGGAGAGAUGUUCCAGGAGGGCCUGGUACACAUUCAUCUGUAUUCUCACUCACUCAGUCAUCCACACAACAAAUACCACUUGAGUGCUCACUCAUUGCCAGACACAGGGCUGGGUUCCAGGUUCACAAAAGCUUUUCUAUACCCUCUCCUGGAUGAUUAUCUCCUUCCAUAGGUCCAACUACAACUUAUUCUUUAAUCCCUGUCAAAUCAAUGUCCCUUUUCUAUAGGCACUCCCAGGUGCCUAUUUCCAACCAUCUAUCCGUUAUAGCUGGCUAUAUUUCUUUAGUCACUGGGACUCAUAAUAUAUGUAAAUACAUAACACACAUAAAUCUCAGGUCACCUGGGUGGCUGGGUUGGUUAA